ACGAAGGGAAAUGGAGACGCUCCUCCUUUUAACGGAUAACUGGAGUCGAUAUCGUAUGUUAGAUGUCCCUUUGGAAUUUCCUCAAAAGGCUAUUUUGUCGGUCCACCGGUAAGAACUGGCAGCCUCAGGAGGAUCAGGACAAGUUUGCUACGUCUUUUAACAGCAUGUAGGCGAAGAAAACAGGUCGUGAAAACUACUUCGGGACAACCGUUCAAUGUUUAGAAACCCAGGCCUCCUUUGCACUAGUCUAGCUAGUUAACGAUGGGAUAUUUUUUUAUAAUUCUAGGGUUUGCAAUUAAAAACCUCUCUGUUCUAUCGAUCAGGUUUUUUUUUCCUUUUUAAAAUUCUAUCACAUAAACUAGAAAUGCAUUACUUUUCAGCCAAAAGUCUCACCACUUCAAGUGCACGCUUAAAAAAAGGGAAACCAAACUACCGGAUUAGAAGCUAUGGCGAGGCUAUGUGUCUUUCCUUGCACAUGGCCUAUUUCUCAUGGGACGAAGAUUGACUGUGGUCAAUAGCAUUAUGUACACCUCAAAGUGGGGUUUUCCCCCCAAUCAUGCAACAAUAUGCCUUUUAGACUUCUUCAGAAAUUGUACAGAUUGCAGGUAAUGUAUAGCUACAGUUUACCUGAUUGUAGAAAUUAAGGUGAACCAAAUGAAAGAGAACUUUCUUGUAGCUUUGAAAUAACUCGCUUUCCAUAAAGCUGUUACUAGCUACUAAUCUCAGCUUCUUAUUGGCAAUAUUUCAAACAGAGGUCAGCCAAUAAACUCUAUAAGAUUUAUAUAAUGCUGCAUUUAAGUACAUAGAUUAUUAUUAAUGUCAUACAUCUGUGUACAUGAUACUCUUCUAUUUAAGACCUGUUAUCCAGAUACUUCUGAAUUUUUGUGAUCUAAUGAAUAUUGUUUUGCAUGGACUGUUGGUACUUAUAAAAAAAAGUGGUUAAAUAAUGUCAUCAAUCACCCAAGCAUGAGCUGUGGUUGGGUGAUUGGUGACAUUAUUUAACCACUUUUUCUUCCUGUCAGCUGCUUUUUCAAUUGUCUUCAAUUUUUCUGAAAUAAACAUUGCAUUUGUUAACCAGCACAAGCGAACAAAUACACACAUAUACAUUUCAAUUUUUCUGAAAACCAGGUUCUUUUCCAAUAAUGUUUGUUUCUGUAUCAUUGCUGCAGAAUAAUUAUGUUAUAGCUUAAUUAUUCCUUUAGUGAGCAGUCCGAUUUUAUUUCAGUAUUAUUUGUUCUUUCUGUGAUCUCAUUAAUUUUCUCUAGUGUUACAGUUGAAAGAUCAAUUUUUCUUGAUUCAGAUUUUCAAAUAGUCCAACUUUCACAGACAUAUACAAUUGGAAAAACUUUCUAUGACAGAGCACAUCUUUGUUAGCAUGUCUGCGCUUUAAAUUUUAAAAUCAUUAUUUAAAGAUUCAAGAUAAAUUUGAUUACAUAAGGAUUAAGUAAGUGUAUUUUUUCAGAUAAUUAAAUCAUCUAUUUUCAUGAAGGGGCUGACAAUACUGCACAUUUUUACUGAGAUGCACAUUCAGCUGAACUCAUAGAAACUUCCUUUAGUAAGUAUGCUUAAGGCUGCAGAUUUAAAUGACAAAUAUAAUUGUAUUGGCAGAUUGAAUUGUAGAGCAGACAAAAUCUAUUGCAGAUGUUUGUGGCACAGCAUUUUAAGGGGUUUUCAUAGUUUGCAUUGCUAAGACCACCUAAAAUGAUAAAUAGUAAAGCUUGAUUGCUGUAGGUAAGGGUAGCAAUUCCCAUAACCAGUUCUCCUAUUUGACAAAAUGACGUAAAGCUGGCGGUUUUGAGUGAAACCACAACAUACUAGAACACAAGAUAAAAUUAGGCAUCCUGAUUCAAGAGGCAAUUUUGGAAAAUAGAGUAAAACAUUCAUAGGCUGCAAAAAGCCAUCAUAUAUUGUUUUUCAUGCAUUUUAUAUCUCCUAUGUAUUUCUGUAGAAGACAUCUUGCUAUUCUUGCAACUCUGCUCCUGGGAGUACGGAUUUUGGGACAAACUGAGGUUUCUGGGGACAAUCCACAGCUUCCAUUGCCACCGGAUUUGGAGAUGCACGGUGACUAGAUAUAGGAAUGAGAUUACUCCUCUCUGCUGUAUAAUCAGACUGGAUGCGGGGAGAGGAGGGAUGUUUCCACAAUUAGAUGGCAGUCAUGGCUAGGAGAGCCUUUGCACAACUAUGUGUUACGUGCCAGUUUCCUGGAUCUUGCAUCCCUGCACACAGUCACUCAAGUCCUGGUCAUCUCAUGCUUGUGAAUGGGGCUACUCUUGAAGAGUAUUCAGAAGCUACAACUGGUGCAGAAUAUAGUGAUGUGGACAUUCUUGGGGCCUCUAUGAUGGUUCAUAUUGCAUUGAUGUUGGCUUCUGUGUCCAAUUCAAGAUGUUGGUUAUCAUCUUUAAAGCCCUUCAUGGCUUUUAAGGCUACUUGAAGAAAUAUCUCACCCCAAUGGAAUUGGCCCAACUCACCCAUAUUGGCAGAAGGGACAUGCUCUCGAUUCCAUUAGCCAAGGAACUCCAAUUGGUGGGAUCCCAAGACAAGAGCCCUUUCUGUCUUCCGAAACAUGUCCUCUGAUGUAAGAUUCACACCCAUCCUUGGCCUUCUGAAAGUACCUGAAGACUUGGCUCUACCAACUGACUGGGACCUCACCGAGGUCAUGCCAUUCUGGAGGUGGUUAAUGGACUAAGAUCCCACUUCCUCUCCUGUGUACAUCUUGCUCUCUUCCUUCCCAUCUGAUCAAUUUUAAAUCAUUUUAGUAAUAAUAUUUAUCAUUUUAAAGUUUUAUUCUUGUUUUUAUGACUGUAAGCUGCCUCUAGGCAAGAUGGGCGGCACAUAAGUUUAUUAACUAAUAAAUUGCUGAUCUCUUGGAAAAACAAAAGUAAAAUAUUACUUAAAUAUUACAAAUCAAAUUACAGUUAAUAAGAGAACCC